GACGAACGCUGGCGGCGUGGAUUAGGCAUGCAAGUCGGACGGUAGAGCUUUAUCGUAAGAUAGAGUUUGAGAGUGGCGAACGGGUGAGUAAUAUAUCGGAACGUGCCCAGUAGUGGGGGAUAGCCCGGCGAAAGCCGGAUUAAUACCGCAUACGACCUAAGGGUGAAAGCGGGGGAUCGCAAGACCUCGCGCUAUUGGAGCGGCCGAUAUCAGAUUAGGUAGUUGGUGGGGUAAAGGCCUACCAAGCCUACGAUCUGUAGCUGGUCUGAGAGGACGACCAGCCACACUGGGACUGAGACACGGCCCAGACUCCUACGGGAGGCAGCAGUGGGGAAUUUUGGACAAUGGGCGCAAGCCUGAUCCAGCCAUGCCGCGUGCGGGAAGAAGGCCUUCGGGUUGUAAACCGCUUUUGUCAGGGAAGAAAUCUUCUGGGUUAAUACCUCGGGAGGAUGACGGUACCUGAAGAAUAAGCACCGGCUAACUACGUG
rnacentral:rRNA from 1 species